CGUGUGUGAAUUCAACCCUGGCUUCCACAGUGAUUUAAAGAAGAGAAAAGCACAUGAAGAUAUUACACAACAUAUUCAUCAUACGCUGCUACACCACAGGAAGAAAGUCG